UAAAUGCACAUUGAAGUUUUUUUUUUCAAUAUGUAUUGGACAUUUUUUCAUAUACAUGCGAACAUUUUUUUGAUACAUGUUGAGCAUGGAAAAACUUGUUUUCCAAUUUUUCAUUAACAUAAUUUUUUAAACGUGUGAACAUUUUAAAUGUCACAAACAUUUUAUUGAGUGGUGUGAUUUUUUGAAAUCUUAUGCAAACAAAUUGCACUGCAUGAGCAUUUUUUAAACUUGCGAACAUUUUUUUAAACUGUGAGAACAUAAUUUUUUGACAUUCUACAAAACAUUUUUAUAUUACAUGUUGGAUAUUCUUUAAAACUACCGGGAAACCACGGCAUUUUUGGAAUAUACGCAUAAGUGAAAAAAAAAGCCUCACGCUGCCAAGUUGUGCCGCCUGGAAGCCGCAACGGUUGACCGAGAGCUCCGUUCCCCGGCGAGCGACUGCGGCGUCCGCUCGUCGGCAACGCCACCGACCACAUCCCCCCACAUUCUACAUCGAGGUCGCCUACACCCUCGAUCCCCAGUGCUCUGCUCACCGCCUCAGGGGCAGGACGAGGAUUCGAAGGAGGGAGGUGAGUAGGGCCAUAAAGAUCAGCUCCCGCACACUACCUGUUCGAUGAAAUGCCCACCACAAGCCCGCAUGAUGUCUUCUUCUCCUCUCUUCCCGGCAGCUCGCUGGUCGACACUGCCGUCCAUCAAUGUUGACAAGUCACCAUCUAAAAGUUUGUCCGAGAAGGUGGAAGUGCCUUUCAUUCAACAGAUGACUGCAAUGAAGGCUGCCAAUAAAGAGCCGAAAGGGAUGAUGAAGACUGCGAGGAUUGAAGAUAUAGAUAGCAUGCAAGACGAGAUGAUGGAUCUUGUUGAUGUGAGCAAUGAGAUAAAAGAAACUCUUGGUAGAAGCUACAAUAUCCCAGAUGACAUCGAUGAGGAGGAACUUAUGAGGGGGGCAAGGACUACAUAUUCCAGGAUACAAUGCUCCAACGUAAGGACAAGAACAUCAUACUCCUGUCCUACAACCCUCUCGUGAUCAUCUCUAUUUUAUUUCCUCAUGCCUGUGGAAUGAUGACACAGUAAUUACUCCCAGAAAGCAAAUUGAAAGCAGGGAUAGAAGGCUGGUAUGAAACAAAAUAUUUAGCUCAAGUGGAUGGUUAACCAUGGGAAAAUUCCAUUCUGGAAUUCUAUCGAUGGUGAAUAUGAAAAGGUUUAUGUGCUGAAUUUUGGUUCAUACGAAUCUUGGACCAAUUGUGUCCUGUGUCCGAGGGAAUACGAGGCAGUGGCUGCAACUUGUUGAAUUCAAGUGGCUGGCUGAAGAAAGGUCCAACUUGUGGGAUACAAGUGGGGGAAUACAAUUAAGCAAAAAUUUGGAGCACACUGACCGAAGAAAAGCUCCAACCUCAAGUGGAUUUGAUUUGGUAAUAUUCUACUUCUUCGAGCACUUUCUGUACGUCUUCCCAUGUAUGAGUUGAUUGCCCAGCACUUUAUAAAUACAAGUAAACAAAUAGUGUGCAAAUGAUUAGUAUUGCUCCCAUACUUUUGGUAGCUCCAAGUGGCGCCUGUGCUUAUGUGUACGUGUAGAUUAGACUGGUUGCAUCUUAAACAUAGUCUCUCAAAGGUAGACUCAUAUUACCUUUGCUGUUUGGCACAA